UACGGAGGGGGCUAGCGUUGUCCGGAAUUACUGGGGGUAAAGCGUGCGCAGGCGGCUGCUCAAGUCAGGGGUGAAAGCCCAGAGCUCAACUCUGGAAUUGCCUUUGAGACUGAGUGGCUUGAGUACGGGAGAGGUGAGUGGAAUUCCCAGUGUAGAGGUGAAAUUCGUAGAUAUUGGGAAGAACACCGGUGGCGAAGGCGGCUCACUGGCCCGUAACUGACGCUCAUGCACGACAGCGUGGGGAUCAAACAGG
rnacentral:rRNA from 1 species